rnacentral:tRNA from 1 species
GGAGCGGUAGUUCAGUUGGUUAGAAUACCGGCCUGUCACGCCGGUGGUCGCGGGUUCGAGUCCCGUCCGCUCCG